UCAGCGGCGGACGGGUGAGUAACACGUGGGUAACCUGCCUGUAAGACUGGGAUAACUCCGGGAAACCGGGGCUAAUACCGGAUGCUUGAUUGAACCGCAUGGUUCAAUCAUAAAAGGUGGCUUUUAGCUACCACUUGCAGAUGGACCCGCGGCGCAUUAGCUAGUUGGUGAGGUAACGGCUCACCAAGGCGACGAUGCGUAGCCGACCUGAGAGGGUGAUCGGCCACACUGGGACUGAGACACGGCCCAGACUCCUACGGGAGGCAGCAGUAGGGAAUCUUCCGCAAUGGACGAAAGUCUGACGGAGCAACGCCGCGUGAGUGAUGAAGGUUUUCGGAUCGUAAAACUCUGUUGUUAGGGAAGAACAAGUACCGUUCGAAUAGGGCGGUACCUUGACGGUACCUAACCAGAAAGCCACGGCUAACUACGUGCCAGCAGCCGCGGUAAUACGUAGGUGGCAAGCGUUGUCCGGAAUUAUUGGGCGUAAAGCGCGCGCAGGCGGUUUCUUAAGUCUGAUGUGAAAGCCCCCGGCUCAACCGGGGAGGGUCAUUGGAAACUGGGGAACUUGAGUGCAGAAGAGGAGAGUGGAAUUCCACGUGUAGCGGUGAAAUGCGUAGAGAUGUGGAGGAACACCAGUGGCGAAGGCGACUCUCUGGUCUGUAACUGACGCUGAGGCGCGAAAG
rnacentral:rRNA from 1 species